AAAAUCUAAUGGUUCCUUGUGUACAAGUAGUCAGCACACCGGUUGAUAUGGUCAUAUCAGUCAGUGCCUGAACUUAUGCUCUAACCAAUACGCAGGCCUUUGCCGUCUCUCGUCUCGAGCUUCUCGCUCACAACCAAUCACGUUCUUCUGGAGGUCACUAGUUCUUAAUUGAUUUCAGCUGCGUCUCCCCCGCCUCUCCUCAUAAAGCGCCCCCACCGUGACGGAUUUUAAUCGUUUAUUUUGUGUUGGAUUGCGUGGGCUGAACAAUCCGGACAUCGUGGCCACCGACGUUGACCCCCCGCCACCGGGACCCACGCACACCGACCACCACACUGGGAAGUGUCCUCUGCUCACUGUGGAAGCAGCAUGGAAGAACUGCAGCAACUCUGAUGGAAACGAGGACCUCCACGCUGUUGAACACAAACUGUUCUAGGCCUACUACAAACCGAGGCGGUCCCACUCGGUUAAAGAUCUCGUGGUCAAUGCGGCAGACCGCUGGACCUGGACGUCACCUUCUGCAGAUACUUCACUGCCCUCAAGAAUCCACGGAUAACUUGAAACAUGUCCGACUCCACAUGUCCGAAAAAAAUCCAGGAUGGAAACUUGUGGAAGGAAGGAAGGGUUCUGUUUUUGCUCAACCCAUAACCCCACUGAGCCCUUCUGUGGAAACCUGUCUGACUGACCCUACUGACUGGGGGCCUGUUGUGUAUUUGGUUGGUCUGGUAGAAGGUUUGCUGCUUGUGAUCUGCAAGGUGGUCCUGGGUUAGAUGCGGUGUCUGACUUGCACACCACUCUCCCAAUUCUAUUUUUCUCUUUACUACUUUUCUACUUUCAAUACUUGCUGCUGUUGACCGCUGGUGGUGCAAUGUGGUUUUUAUUCGCGUAUGUUCUGUGGACUUUGCAUUUGUAUUUUAAUGAACAUGUUUACUGCCUGUUAGACCUCGGAUUGGCAAACCUAAACUCCUUCACUGGCAAAAUGUAGAUGCAAAUUAAAUGCCGAAAUUAAAAUUUCAAUAUUCGUUUUGCGUAUUUCACCAAUGGCUUCGGAACUAGACGGACCUCGUAUAUAAUUUGCUCUUCAAAGAUGCGGUCAGGCGCCCCUCCGUUAUAUAACGUUUUCUGCCCGGUACGAAAUAGACCAACCAAUAGCAACCCUUUAGGCUAUCUAAUGUGAUGUUGGAUAUAUGCAACAUGUAGAGGUGUUUCAACAACAAAGAUGGAAGUUGGGGAACUAAAGACUGUAUAUGCUCACUAAAAGAACGUCUACUAAAAGAUUUUGAGGAAUAUGCAUUUCUGCAUCACCCGUUCCAAUGCUAUGAUUAGUCGAGGCCUAUCCAAUAGCUUAGCAUCGACCCAUUUUAGAUCGCGCCCUUUAGACACGCCCCUUGGAAAUUGAACCGCACUUCAACGCAGAGGAUCCAGAAGGAUUUCACAACGAGUCCAUUGGAAGAUAUCGAGGAACAUGAACAUCAUCACCAAUGAAGGAGAGUAACGUUUCCACUUGCUAUAGGAAUUUAGUGAAGCACUAAAUAGUUAAUAAUAAUAAUGAUAAAAUGUGGUCACCAUUUAUUGACUUUUUGGGUAAGACUUGCUUUACUAAUAUAACCGCUUUAAAACCGCAUUCAUUUACUUUUCUUGUGUAGUUUCCCACUAUUCAUUAAAUGUUUUAUAGAAGUAAAAAAGUAAUCAAUAGAACUAUACACAUUUGUACAACAAUUAAUCAUUAUAGAGGAUUUGAACAUUUUCUAUUCGAGCUCAUGCUUCAUAAUAUUUCCAAGGAUUGCAGAGUACCAAAUGAUUUAUGAACAGUUGUCUUUGUUCAGGAGCGGAUUGUACUCCCAGAGGCUUCAACAGAGCGGGUCUUGAGCUGGGAGCUGCAGGUGGAUGGUGGCCAGGAGCCUUUCAGUCCUACAGGAACAGACGGUAGAGGUGAUGGAGGCGGUCGUCUGGAGGUGCUCGCCAUGAGGUCCAUGGCGGUCGUCUGGAGGUCCGUGGCGGUCGUCUGGAGGUCAUCUGGAGGUCCGUGGCGGUCGUCUGGAGGUCCGUGGCGGUCGUCUGGAGGUCCGUGGCGGUCGUCUGGAGGUCCGUGGCGGUCGUCUGGAGGUCCGUGGUCGUCUGGAGGUCCGUGGCGGUCGUCUGGAGGUCCGUGGCGGUCGUCUGGAGGUCCGUGGCGGUCGUCUGGAGGCGCCUGCUGCAGGUGGAGGGAAGGCCGGAGCCGUGCAGCCCAACGGAUGCAGAACGAAGGACUGAGGCGGAGGUCCUGGAGGCGGAGGUCCUGGAGGCGGAGGUCCUGGAGGCGGCGGUGGCCUGGAGGUCCUGGAAGCGUCCAACCUGGAAGGGGCGGCAUGGUGGGCCAGGUGGCGGCUCCUCAUCCAAAGGGCCUGGAGGCAGCCAACCUGGAAGGCCUGGAGACGGCGGCGGGCCUGGAGGUGGACGCCAACCUGGAGGUCCUGGAGUCGGUGGGCCUGGAGGCGGUGGUUGGGACCAACCUGGAGGGCCUGGAGGCGGUGGUUGGGACCAACCUGGAGGUCCUGGCGGUGGCGUCCACCUGGCGGCGGUCAGCCUGGAGGGCCCGGCGGCGGCGACCGGAGGUCGGCGGCGGUGGCGGCGGCGGCUCCUCAUCCGGUUAAGCUAAACUCUUCUCCAGUGCAUCAUGAACGGGAGGAAUGUCCGGGUGCAAAUAGAACGUGUCUCAUUUCAGAAGAAAUGAGGCGACGUUGCGGUGGCCCAGGCGGUCGGCCCGGUGGAGGUCCUGGAGGACGGCUGGGGGAUCCGGCAGUGGAGGUCCGGAGGUGGCUCGUGAUUAGACCAACCAGCUCCUCAUCCAUGGAAGGAUUGAAGGAGUCACUUGGGAUGAAGAUCACUGCUCAGGGGCUGACGACCACUCAUCUUUCCGGAGAAGCGUCCUCAUGGUGCAGGCGGUCAAACCUCCACCUCUUUGAAGAGACCAAACAGCUUGAUGACUGACUGGUUCGUUAUACUCAAGACCUCGUCCCGGAGCAGAGGACGGACCUAAGGCCCGCAGCGCAGCCGACUUGAGACUCCAUGUGGAACCGGUUCAAUUAAGUUGACCUCUCCUUCAGGCGACUUAAAGGGAGACCAGAUGUGCGGCAGCUGUGUGUCACGGUGCAGAGACCCAACGCUGUACUGAACUACACCAGUGUGUCCUACUCCCAUAAACCCUGAGGAUCCCUGGAUGGCUACACCAGCACAUUAAUCCACACCCAACAUCAUCACACAGUGCACACUCUAUAGAGCUCGUAAGUCCGCCAUUUGCGAUCGUAAAUUAUGACUGGGUUUCAAUGGAGAGAAAGUAAUUAUUUUCUCCAUUUUAUGUUUCACCACAUUUUGGGGGAAUGUUUGAAUCAAUCUUUUUCAUUUAUUUCUGUGCUCCAUAUCUGUAAUCCCAGCUGUUGUAUUUUAACACGGUAGCUGGGAACCCUCUUUAUAGGGAGCGACUAGAGGGACGAGGCUGGAAGCAAACCUGAGCCUGGAUCUUAACCUUCUUUCUAAACCUAAUGCCGCAAUUUAACCGCAAAUAAAGUGAGGCCUAAAGUAACUUGACUCUCUUACCUAAACUUGCUUGCCUAAACUCGCUUGUCUAAACUCGCCUGCAUAAAACCUAAACUCGUUUGCAUAAAACCUGAACUUGCUUGGCUAAACUCGCGUCGCUUGCCUAAUACCUGAACUUGCUUGCCUAAACUCGCUUGCCUAAUACCUAAACUCGCUUGCCUAAACUCGCUUGCCUAAACUCGCUUGCCUAAACUCGCUUGCCUAAACUCGCUUGCCUAAACUCGCUUGCCUAAACUCGCUUGCCUAGACUCUCUUGCCUAGACUCGCUUGCCUAAGACCUGCUUGCCUAAAACCUGUACUCGCUUGCAUAAAACCUGUACUCGCUUGCAUAAAACCUAAACUCGCUUAGCUUGACUCUCUUGCCUGUACUCGCUUGCCUAAUACCUGAAGUCGCAUGCCUAAUACCUGAAGUCGCUUGCCUAAAACCUAAACUUGCUUUUCCAAACACGUUACACAAAGUUAACCAUCCAUAAUCUUUAACCCAAACCAGACUUGUCCCUGGGUCGCUCCACUUUAAUUUAGAAGUUUCUUCUUUUACCUCAUCUGCGUUUUGAGUUGCAUUCUUUGAGGGCUUGAAGUGCUUUGGAGGAUAUUUGAACCUUUGUUUGCCGCAUCAAUAAACAUGCUUUAUCUUUACACAUUGUUUUGGUUUGCAUUUCUAUGUGUAAUCCGACCAAAUGUUCAGUGUCCUUACAUGUAAUGUCUAUGGUCUGACGAUAAUCUGACAUCUUCAUGAAGCAGAAUGUGUGAAUGUUGUCCUGUGAGCUCCAGGCUCUCUGUGGGCGUCAACGUCUCUUUAGCAAAAGGUUGGAGAGUGAAAUUCAUUUUUUUGCCAUUUUCAUGUGUUCCUGAGUAUUUCAGACCUGUGGUGUUUCACAUGAGACCUUAAUGGGAACUUUUCUUUUUCUUCCUGCAUACUAAUGCCUACAUUAGUAGGGUGAUCACUGUUGAUCCCAAUAUUGAUCAUUAACCACCUCAUUCUUUGGGAUUACAAAUCAUGUAAUUUAUGAGCAUAUUUGCAAAUGCCUCCAAAUAUCAGAUUGUGUAAAAACGAAUGAAAUGUAACCUGCUUGAUUUAAAGAAAAUAAAACAUCCAAAUAUUAUAAAC
ensembl:lncRNA